UUCACGGUAUUGCAAUGAGAACAAUUUAAAACCCUUAGCGAGAAUCAAGUGGAGGACAAGUCUGGUGCCAGCACCCGCGGUAAUUCCAGCUCCACUAGCGUAUAUUAAAGUUGUUGCAGUUAAAAAGCUCGUAGUUGAACCUCUGUCUGGGGCUAGUUUUGGCUUUGGUCAGGCUAGUUCUAGGCAUCCGCCUACAAGACUUAGAGGGCAUUCAGUUGUUCACUAGGAGGAGUAGGCAUUUUACUUUGAAAAAAUUAGAGUGUUUAAGGCAGGCAAUCGCCCGCAUAUAUUAGCAUGGAAUAAUAGAAUAGGACACUUUUCCAUUUCGUUGGUUAUUGGAAUCGUGUAAUGAUUAAUAGGGACAGUUGUGGGCAUUUGUAUUUAAUUGUCAGAGGUGAAAUUCUUGGAUUUAUUAAAGACAAACUAACGCGAAAGCAUUUGCCAAGGAUGUUUUCAUUAAUCAAGAACGAAAGUUAGGGGAUCAAAGACGAUCAGAUACCGUCCUAGUCUUAACUAUAAACUAUUCCGACUCAAUGUUUGACUGGCUUAUAUAACCAGUUGAGCGUUGUAUGAGAAAUCAAAGUCUUUAGGUUCUGGGGGGAGUAUGGUUGCAAAGCUGAAACUUAAAGGAAUUGACGGAAGAGCACAACCAGGAGUGGAUUCUGCGGCUUAAUUUGACUCAACACGGGGAAACUUACCAGGUUAAAACAAUAGUGGGAUUGACAGUUUGAGAGCGCUUUCUUGAUUGGUUGGGUGGUGGUGCAUGGCCGUUCUUAGUUGGUGGAGUGAUUUGUCUGCUUAAUUGCGUUAACGAACGAGACCUUAACCUGCUUACUAGACUGGCGAUCAUCAAUCGUUAGCUCUUCUUAGAGGGACUUUGGUUGUUUUAACUCCAAGGAAGUUUGAGGCAAUAGCAGGUCUGUGAUGCCCUUAGAUAUCCUGGGCCGCACGCGUCAUACAAUGACUAGUUCAGAAAGUUUUCUCCUGACCCGAAAGGGGAUGGGUAAUCUUGAUAAUACUAGUCGUGUUAGGGAUCGAUCUUGCAAUUAUAGAUCUUGAACGAGGAAUUCCUAGUAAGUGCGGUUCAUCAGACCGUACUGAUUACGUCCCUGCUCUUUGUACACACCGCCCGUCGCUUCUACCGAGUGGGUGGUCCGGUGAGAUAAUUGAACUUCGCAGGUAACUGAGAGGAAAGAUUAUCAAACCUAUCCACCU
rnacentral:rRNA from 1 species